rnacentral:rRNA from 1 species
GACGAACGCUGGCGGCGUGCCUAAUACAUGCAAGUCGAGCGGAUGAGAAAGGAGCUUGCUCCUUUCGAUUCAGCGGCGGACGGGUGAGUAACACGUGGGCAACCUGCCUGUAAGACUGGGAUAACUCCGGGAAACCGGGGCUAAUACUGGAUAACUCAUGAGACUGCAUAGUCUGAUGAUAAAAGAUGGUUAUGCUAUCACUUACAGAUGGGCCCGCGGCGCAUUAGCUAGUUGGUGAGGUAACGGCUCACCAAGGCGACGAUGCGUAGCCGACCUGAGAGGUUGAACGGCCACAUUGGGACUGAGACACGGCCCAGACUCCUACGGGAGGCAGCAGUGGGGGAUAUUGUGCAAUGGGGGAAACCCUGACGCAACAACGCCCCGUGAAGGAAGAAGGUUUCGGAUUGUAAACUUCUUUUAUUAAGGACGAACAAUGACGGUNCUUAAUGAAUAAGCUCCCGCUAACUACGUGCCAGCCAGCCGCGGUAAUACGUAAGGAGCAAGCGUUGUCCCGAUUUACUGGGUGUAAANGGUGCGUAAGCGGCCAGGC